UUGGCCAUCGUCGCCGGCGAGGCGCUGACUUUGUCGCACGUCGUCUUCUACGUGCUGCGCAUCGACAUGGUCGCCACCAUGCCAAGAAGCGCAGCAAGAAGGACGCCCGGGCCACACUUGACCCUGAGCGCGUCCGCCGGACCGGUGGUGAUCCUGGCGCUGGUCCCAGCAACGCUGCGGCACCUGCUGCACCGCCGCAGCAACCGCCAGCGCCACGCCAAGACCGAUGGGUGUGUCCUCCAUCGCCUUCGCCGGAGCGGGUUGCAGAGCGGCUGCGUGAGUCCGAGACCCAGCAGCCGCUCCAUCCGAUGCGGUACUGCCCCCUCCAUGGAUGGGGGCCGUGUCCUGCUCGCCAACCGCGGGCUCCUCCAACGGAUGCAGACACCGCCGCCCCCACUGUUCGAUCGAGCGGACUGCUCGUUCAAGUCACCUCUCCAGCGCGCUCUCGUGCCCGAACACGGCUGA
rnacentral:misc_RNA from 1 species